CUGUUUGCUGAUGGAGCAUCAUCAAGAUUCACAAAACUUUUUUUAGGGCUAAUGAUCAAUGGUGAAGAUCAUGCUUCACUAUACAAUCAGCCCUUUGAAUAUGUAUGGGAAUCUUGAUGAUGCUGCAGCGGCAAUAAA
rfam:Theobroma cacao cultivar Matina 1-6 chromosome 10, whole genome shotgun sequence.